rnacentral:rRNA from 1 species
GCUUGUCUCAAAGAUUAAGCCAUGCAUGUCUAAGUAUAAACUGCUUAUACUGUGAAACUGCGAAUGGCUCAUUAAAUCAGUUAUAGUUUAUUUGAUGGUACCUUCUACUCGGAUAACCGUAGUAAUUCUAGAGCUAAUACGUGCGUAAAACCCGACUUCUGGAAGGGUCGUAUAUAUUAGAUAAAAGGCCGACCGAGCUUUGCUCGACCCGCGGUGAAUCAUGAUAUCUUCACGAAUCGCACGGCCUUGUGCCGGCGAUGUUUCAUUCAAAUUUCUGCCCUAUCAACUGUCGACUGUGAUAUAGACGCUCACAGUGGUUUUGACGGGUAACGGGGAAUCAGGGUUCGAUUCCGGAGAGGGAGCCUUAAAAACGGCUACCACAUCCAAGGAAGGCAGCAGG